rnacentral:sRNA from 1 species
UUACAAAAAUGACGUCGCCACAGGAGUAA